rnacentral:rRNA from 1 species
GGCGACCGCUUUUGGAGUUCGAUUAAGCCAUGCGAGUAGAAAGAAAUUAGAUUCUUUGCGAACUGCUCAGUAACACGUGGAUAACCUGCCCUAUGCUCUGGAAUAACCUCGGGAAACUGAGAAUAAUACCGGAUAGAUCACAACGCCUGGAACGGUGUGUGGUUGAAAGAUUACGGCAUAGGAUGGGUCUGCGGCGUAUCAGGUUGUAGGGGGUGUAACGGACCUCCUAGCCAUCGACGCGUACGGGUGUUGGGAGACAUAGCCCGGAGAUGGAUUCUGAGACACGAAUCCAGACCCUACGGGGUGCAGCAGGCGCGAAAACUUCACACUGCAGGAAACUGUGAUGAGGGAACUCCAAGUGCGUGCACUUAGUGUGCGCUUUUGUUGACUAUUAAUCGGUCAAUGAAUAAGGGCUGGGAAAGACCGGUGCCAGCCGCCGCGGUAAUACCGGCAGCUCAAGUGGUCGUCGCUUUUAUUGGGCCUAAAACGUCCGUAGCCUGUUUGGUAAAUCUGUGGGUAAAUCAACCAGCUUAACUGGUUGAAUUCUGCAGAGACUGCCAGACUAGGGACCGGGAGAGGUGUGGGGUACUCUAGGGGUAGGGGUAAAAUCCUGUCAUCCUUAGAGGACCACCAGUUGCGAAGGCGCCACACUGGAACGGAUUCGACGGUCAGGGACGAAGCCUAGGGGCACGAACCGGAUUAGAUACCCGGGUAGUCCUAGGUGUAAACGCUGUGAACUUGGUGUCGGGGAUCCGUCAUGGGUCCCCGGUGCCGGAGUGAAGAUGUUAAGUUCACUGCCUGGGGAGUACGGUCGCAAGGCUGAAACUUAAAGGAAUUGGCGGGGGAGCACUGCAACGGGAGGAGCGUGCGGUUU